rnacentral:rRNA from 1 species
CCAGACUCCUACGGGAGGCAGCAGUGGGGGAUAUUGCACAAUGGGGGGAACCCUGAUGCAGCGACGCCGCGUGGGUGAAGAAGUCAUUCGUGACGUAAAGCCCUAUCAGCAGGGAAGAAAUUGACGGUACCUGAGUAAGAAGCUCCGGCUAAAUACGUGCCAGCAGCCGCGGUAAUACGUAUGGAGCAAGCGUUAUCCGGAUUUACUGGGUGUAAAGGGAGCGUAGGCGGCCUGCCAAGUCUGAUGUGAAAUACCGGGGCUCAACCCCGGGACUGCAUUUGGAACUGUGUGGCUGGAGUGUCGGAGAGGCAGGCGGAAUUCCUAGUGUAGCGGUGAAAUGCGUAGAUAUUAGGAGGAACACCAGUGGCGAAGGCGGCCUGCUGGACGAUGACUGGCGUUGAGGCUCGAAAGCGUGGGGAGCAAACAGGAUUAGAUACCCCGGUA